AAGUAAGAUGGUGCUUACUGUGAACAUUUUGAAUAAUAAAUAGGAAAAGUUCAUUAUUAGUUAAUACACCACUGAAAAUAAGAAGGAGUAAGGCUUAGUAGCUGUUGUCAAGUACCACUAUUCAAUAAGAAAUGCUGAAGGGGAUAUGGAAGUGUGGUGUUAGGACAUAAAAGGGGAGCGUACAUUAUUUUUUUUGGCCCUCUUGCCCUUUAUGUGGGUGAGGCUGAAAGAAAACAAAGCCAAAUGAAAUCUACAGGGAAUUGGAGCAAAAAAAUAUCACCAGGUGCACUCCACUUUUUCACAGAAACAGCAAGCAGCAGGCAUAUGAGGAAGGCAAGUUCGCAAUGGCCUUGUGUUAAAGUCCUCAGGAAAAGAAUGCUUUGAAAAGGUUUAUAUGAAUAAAGCCAAGAAGAUCAGUAACGAAGUGUAGAGAAAGAAAAGCCUUCUUCCGCUCCACCGUUCUAAGUUUAGGAACCAAACACAGCUGUUGGAGAGGCUCUUUGGGCUAAGGGAGGGAGUAAUUUUGUUGGGAAAUGAGAAGCCUUUAUAAUAGAAAUGUCUUAACAGGGCUUAGUACUUCUUAGCAUACUUACGAGACUCAAAAUUGUCUGAUUUACCUUUUCCAACACUAUUUUCAGAUGUUUAUGAAGCUCUCGUCAAAAUCAUGGCCCAGUAAUAGGAAUCCGCUUGAGGGACUAAGUCCCAAUGGAAGACUGUCAUGCUUAAGAUGGAAAACUAGCAUGGAAGGUAUAGGCUUGGAGAUCAAGAGGUUACACGAAUAUAUCAACAAAAAGGCAUUUGACAGGUCGAUGGCUACACACCAGGUACCAAGGGAUGUGUUAAUUUGCUCAGGCAAUUAAAUGACAUCUGAAACAGUAACUGCAGUUGGAGUCCACCUGAUUCUGUUCCUGAUAAUCUGCUGUUCCUCUCCAUGAUCCAAGUUUUCCACAUAGGCAAACAGGCAAGUUGAGUGAGGAUGUGGUGGGAAUCAUUACCUCUGCAUCUUUCAAGUCCUUGAUGAUUGCAUUCAUGUCUGAAUCCAUCCAGAAAUAUGGCAUUCGUUUUGGUUGGCUAUUUUUCAAAGUAGAGGCGGUGCUAUUGGCUUCCUCUUGGUAUUUUCUCACUAUAAUAGCUCUCAUUUUAGAGGUCAGUAAACCAGUGUGGGAAGUCUGCCAGUUGCUAUUUCUAUCCAACUAUUCUGGAACUGGAGAAAUAACUGCAGGAUGGGUUUGGUGACCCACUGGGUCACUAUAAGAUGGAUCCAAGUAAAACUCCAUUGAUCAUCUGACCUCCAUAAGCUCUUACACUGACUUGUGGACAAACUCUUGUUUUAGGUCUCCGGAAAUUAGUAUCAAUUCACAGCUGGUGUUCAGUAACUCUCCAAAAGUUUCAUUGUUUUCUUUUCCUCAUUGCACAGAUGGCUGAGAGAAAAAGAUUAAUAAUAUUAACAAUAUAUUAAGAUUUAACAAUAUAACAUUUUAACUGUGUAGCAGGC
rnacentral:lncRNA from 13 species